rnacentral:lncRNA from 1 species
GGUAAGAGGAAACAUUGUAAAUGUGGCAACUCCUCAUAAGCUUGCAAAGCCAGUGUAAUAAUCCCAACUGAAGUAUCAACAGAAUUGUUUGCUUUUCGAGACAGGGUUUCUCUGUGUAACAGCCCAGACAGUCCUGGAACUCGCCACCAUCGGCUUGCUUCAGCAGGAUUUUUAAAAGAACUUGGAAGAGCUCUCCUUGAAACAUGGCAAAGAAAGGGUUUGUGAGAUGGCUCAGCAAGGAAAGGUGGUUGCCUAGCAAGUCUGACUGUCUGAGUUCGAUCCCAGGAACUCAGGUGAGAGAUUUAAAAGAUCUGAAGUGCUGCUUAUCACCCCAAAAAAUUCCAACCAGCCCAGGAAUUCACAGCUUGUCACUGAAUGUUUCAGAAGGUCCAGGAUGUAGAGAGACCCUGCCUCAAAAAGAAAAAGGAAAAGAAAGCAAUACUCCAGAAGACCCAAGUGAGGCAUCCUCAGGCACACCUGAUUCCUAUACAGUUGGCAUCCUCAGGUGAUAACCUUGGGCAGGCUGAGGAACAGGGUCCUCACUGAUGUGUCUCAGCCUCAGCCCAGUGGCCCAAAUAUAUGUUGCAAUCAGUGCAGGGACUAGGAACCUACUUUUCAAACAUCCAGCCGCCUGCAGAAUUUAAAUUGGACACAGACACUAGGUUACUGUGGCUGGAGUAUCAUUCCCUCUGAGGGAGGGCACCUGAGUCCCUCCCUGAGGCUCCCAGGGAGGGAAGGAGGGAGGGAGGGAGGCUGGGAGGCUGCCCCUCAGGGACCUCCAGUUCCAUGUCCUGCUGCUUCAGCAACCUGUCUGGGUAAACUGCAUUAAUCUCACUACCUGGGAAAUAUUACUCUGGUGUGACUCAGGGAUCCUGGCAACAACAGAACUAAAUGAGUUUUCCUAAACCCCAAAUGCACAGGCAGGUCUCGGUCUCUCUCUCUCUCUCUCUCUCUCUCUCCCUCCCUCCCUUCCUCCCUCCCUCCCUCCCUCCCUUGAUGGCUCUCAGUCUCCAAACCUGAG